rnacentral:rRNA from 1 species
AUUGAACGCUGGCGGUAGGCCUAACACAUGCAAGUCGAACGAGUGGCGGACGGGUGAGGAAUACAUCGGAAUCUACUCUGUCGAUGGGGUUAACUAAGGGAAACUUACGCUAAUACCGCAUACGAUUGCAUGCGCCGAGGUCGGAUUAGCUAGUUGGCGGGGUAAAGGCCCACCCAGACGACGAUCCGUAGCUGGUCUGAGAGGAUGAUCAGCCACACUGGAACUGCGACACGGUCCAGACUCCUACGGGAGGCAGCAGUGGGGAAUAUUGGACAAUGGGCGCAAGCCUGAUCCAGCCAUGCCGCGUGUGUGAAGAAGGCCUUCGGGUUGUAAAGCCCUUUUAUUGGGAAGGCGUUACCCACAGAAUAAGCACCGGCUAACUUAGGGCCAGCAGCCGCGGUAAUUC